UGUUACUCUGAUAGAAAGUAAAUGCUCCUUCAUAGUCUUCCACAUCUAAGUAUGAAGAUAUUGGUAUUUUUGGAGCUCAUAUUCUAUGCCUGGAACUGUGUUGACACUGGGGACAGACGAGGAAAUAAGACAUAGCUCAUAUUCUUAAUAAGCUCUCUAUGGCCAGCAGAUACAGAGAAGUCUUGCCUAAAGUGAAGGAAGCAGAUGGCAUCCAUUUUCUCGGUGAUCACUGGCAACACUGCUGCUGGAAGAAAUACCAGAAUAUUGAUCAAGCCUUUGCCUUUAGUUCCUCAAGCCUGUUUCCCAGAGUAUCUGACGUACUGGAGGGAAGAAUUACUGGGAGAUGUUCCUGAGAAUUGUUUCUUUGAUCCACCACAGUUCCUCAGGGAGGUUCUCAGUAAACGGGCAGUGGAAGACUUAUUUUUCCAUGCUGUUUCACCCCCGGCUUUAGUCACCAUCUUCUAACAUUGAUGACAUGUGAGGAAACUGAAUCAUGGAAAUGGGAUUAUCUCAAAGAUGGCACGGACUGCAUGAGCUGGAACCAGGACGAUGUUCUCUUCUGUCAGUGGUGUCUUGUGGGCUCUAUAUCCAAGCUGUGUGUGUCUACUUGGAGAAAGCAGAAGUUAAUUAGCGGCUGUGCUGGACUCAGGCAGCAGGGGACAGCUUGAUGGUGGAAAGGAGCCCUUAUGCUGACAUCAGAAACCAUGACCCAGCCUCAUGACCCCAGUGUGAUUAGACCCCAGGUAGCACUAUGAAGUGGGGCUCAUUUGUAUACUUUCUGA